rnacentral:rRNA from 1 species
AGUCACUGACAUUAGAUACCCCCGUAGUCCAGGGUGUAAACGCUGCAGACUUGGUGCUAGAAGCCCGUUUGGGGGCAUUCAGUGCCGGAGAGAAGUUGUUAAGUCUGCUACGUUGGGAGUACGUCCGCAAGGAUGAAACUUAAAGGAAUUGGCGGGGGAGCACCGCAACGGGAGGAGCGUGCGGUUUAAUUGGAUUCAACACCGUAAAACUCACCAGGGAAGACUGUUACAUGAAGGCCGAGAUGAAGACUCUGCUAGAUUUUCAG